UGCUCGUGCUUGGCAAGCAUCGUGCCACA
rnacentral:piRNA from 1 species